rnacentral:rRNA from 1 species
CACGUAAGAAUCUGCCCCUCGGUCGGGGACGAACUCUUGGAAACGAGAGCUAAUACCCGAUACGCUGUGGAGUGAAAGAAUUUCGCCGAGGGAUGAUCUUGCGUCUGAUUAGCUAGUUGGUGUGGUAAUGGCAUACCAAGGCGACGAUCAGUAGCUGGUCUGAGAGGAUGGACAGCCACAUUGGAACUGAGACACGGUCCAAACUCCUACGGGAGGCAGCAGUGGGGAAUUUUCCGCAAUGGACGCAAGUCUGACGGAGCGACGCUGCGUGAAGGAUGACGGCCCGCGGGUUGUAAACUU